AACAGGCAAUCAGAUGUUGCAGACACACGUCAUGUUUCCUUCAGACUGAGAUCGUUCAGUGCUGCCUGAAAUAGGAUAUGAGGCAAAAAAGCAUAUGAAAAAAGAAGCCUGAGACAGGGGUGGAUGAGUGGCUCCUGUUUCAUGGGAUGAGUCCAUCCCACGUGACAGACAUCUGCAUGCAGAAUUUCAACUGGAGGAUUUGUGGCAUUCAUGAGACAAUGUAUGGCAAAGGAAGAUGCUUUGCCAGAGAUGCCAGUGACUCUCAUGAAUACUGCUCGUACAUGCUACCAUGCCAUGUUCAUAGCUUAAACUCUUGUUAGAGACUUUGCCUGGGGAAAAGUCUACCUUGCCUUCCACCCAAACCUGGGAUUUCAAACAAACUUCCGAACAGCUGUGUAGCUGAUCAAAAAAACCCCUCUGUCAUCUUCAAGAAGCACCAGAUUUACCCUGCCUGUAUCUUGGAGUAUACAUGCCCACCCAGUAAGGAUCCCGCGAGAGGGAAAAGUCUGUGAGAGAGUGAUUGCUAGCGUUUACGGACCAUAGGACAAGAGGUUCUUCACCUGCUGCCACCAGCAGUCCUAGUUGGGAGUGUGCCACAAGGCUGAAGUUGUAGCGUCACUACUCUGACAGUUCUUGAAGACAACAGGUACAGGAGUGUGAGCUGGACUCUGAAGACCGAGGUAAAUCAGGCACAUCAAUUAUUCUGUCAUUUUGGUGCUUUUGGCUGUUCUACACAGAUUUGCUUUGCUGUCAAAUGAGUAUCCCUCAAGUGGAUAUAUUAUAAUAUGAGAAAA